AACACUUCAAGUGAGAUAGUAACGCAGCUGUCACUUGUGUGAUAUCCUACAACUACAAAGCCCACAACCCUCCUCUUCUCUCUUUGGCCAGCAAAUUAGAGUUUGCAGCUGUAAGAUUUCUUUCUCUCUCCUCCACCACCACCACCCUUUUUCUCACUCCCUUUUCCUUUUCUCUUAAAAUACUUUAAAAAUUAACAACUCCUUUUAUUUUCCUUUCUACAUUUUUUUAAUUAACCAACUUCUCUGUCACAAACAACCAUCAAAUAAUAACGAUACCACACACCAUCAUAAACCAUCCACCACCCUUUUCCCCUUAGCCCCUCUUCUCAAAUUCAAUGAUUCUUCUGUGGUGAAUGGUGGAGGAGCACAACUACAACUACAAGGCACAAGAAGAAGAAGAAGAAGAAGAAGAAGGGGGUGUUGUUGAAUGGUGGAGCACAACUACAACUACAAGACACAAGAAGAAGAAAAUGGCAGAGACAAGUUAAUUAUAAUUAGAGAUCAGAAGAAGAAACAAGGACACACACAGACACACCCUUUUGAGCUUAACUAGCUUUUUUCAUGCAUGAACAAGGGCACCCUUUAUUUCUUCCUUUGAGACACUAUGGCUUACCCGCAUUACCGAUCACAGUUCGGAGACACAACGUUCACUAAGGUCUUCGUUGGAGGCCUAGCUUGGGAGACUCCAACCGAAGAAAUGCGCAAAUAUUUUGAGCAGUUUGGCGACAUUCUUGAAGCUGUCAUUAUCACUGAUAAGAGCACAGGAAAAUCUAAAGGCUACGGAUUCGUAACAUUCCGUGAUCCAGAAUCAGCUAGAAGGGCAUGUGCUGAUCCAAACCCAGUUAUAGAUGGAAGAAGAGCAAAUUGUAACAUUGCUUCUCUAGGAAGACCUAGACCAUCACCACCUAGAGGAAGAGGUACAUUCCAAGGAGGAGCACCAGUGACGGCAGCAGCGUCUUACGGUGGAGUGCCGGCGGCUGGGCCGCCGGCACUGGCGCCGCCGCCACCGCCGCUAGUGUACCCGCCAUAUGGCUACCCUACCUACACCCCUGAUUAUGGGUACCACCAAGCCUCAUUGUAUAACCCACAAAUUCAGCAACCACAAUACUACCACCAACAACUCUACGGACCAUCAUCUUCCACCAUGGGUUCCCCUUAUUACUAUGGCUAUUCUGUGCAAGCACCAAGGGGCACAUUCUCUUCAACCCAACCACAUCGCAUACCAGCUGGACCCUCCUAUCUAUACUACCCUACACCCAUGGAAAGCUCUUUCUCUGCUUAUCGUCCACCACCUCAAUUGCAACAACUUCCAAUAAGGCAACCCCCUCCUUCCCCUAGUGGGGUCCACAUGGGCAACCCCAGCCCCAUGUGAAUGAGCUGUCCCGGUUGUGCCAUGAACCGUAUAAUGUAUCGGUCAAUGUGGAAGAAAGUCAUGACAGAGGGAGAGGUCAUCAUGUAAAGUAACAGUGAAUGCAUGUGGUUUCAGUAGGAAAAAAAUAAUAUUGUGGUGGUUAAAUUGUUUAAAGAACCAGUCAAAUGGUCUUGCAUACUUGCAUUGGCCCACAGUGCAUGUUUCAUACUACCACUGCUAUUCACAGACUCAGCAGCGUGCCUCCUCCGAGACAGCAGGAGGAGUAGUUAUAACUUCAGAAAGUUCAAAUACCCAAGGGAGGAACUGAUAAAUAUAUAUACCUGCUAAGUUUCAACUGUAUAAUCUUCAAAUUAAAUUUCAUCACAUUAAUUCUUGAUCUUUUUCCACAUCAUAUCUUCAUUUUUUUGGUCCACAUGCUGUAGCUUUUAGGCAAUAAUGGUUCUUAUCAGAUUAGUUGUGUUCCCCAUAGCUAUGGCAUUCAAAAGUUGGACUAAUCUACUUCAUGGAGAUUAUCUUCAUUCUCUUUUCCUUGUCUUCAAGGAUUUUCACUUAUAUCACUUUCACUAAUUAAUUCUA